rnacentral:lncRNA from 1 species
UCAUCAGAAGAGCUCCAGUUGGAGCCCAGGAAGAGACAACAGAAGGCUGGGACCAGGCGGGCUGGCUAGAGACAUGAGGAGCUCGGAGGGUGAGGAACGCUAAGAUGAGGAAAACAGAACCCCUACCCACAAGGUGGUAAGAACACAAAGAACUAUAAAUACCAAUGCCUCUGUGUAUUUGGGGAUUUUACUUUAGGCCACUGAUAAGGAUAUGUAAGAGUUAAUGUUCAUAUAUAGUUGAGGGAAUCAGGGAAGGUUUCUUGGAUAAAAAGACAUUUGGUAUGUA